UGGUAGUCAGUGAGUGAGAACAAGAACACCCCGAACAGUCCUGGUUGGGAUGGUGUCCACAUUCGUGUUCUGCGGUUCUUGAACACACGGAUGCCUCUGGGCCGCCUGUCCUUUUCCGAGGGUGUGGGUGGGAGUGGAUCCUCCGGGUGCAGGUGCCAGGCAGGUGCAGGCGGGCGGUCGGCCACUGCUGCUGCUCGUCCCUGCCAGUGUCUGGGCCUGAAGGGGCUCCCUCUGAGCGGUGCCUUCCUGCGGCUUAGAAGGGAAAGCGCCAGAGAGGGCAGGCUACAGUGCUUCACACCCUCCACCACGGCUGUGAAACUGGAGAUGGAAAUGAAUUUGAUAUUGCGCUCCACCUUUGAGCUGUUCACACCUGUGGCUACCCCUGGAAAGCG
rnacentral:sRNA from 1 species